CACAUAGAAGAAUGCAGUGCAACACAUAACAUACAUAGCAUACAAAUACUCUAUCAUAUAACUCUGGUUACCUACUCAAGGUAAAGUAUAGUGAGAAGACUCACCUCGCGUGUCUCGAUAUCUCACAAUCCUGGGAAUCCCUCGUGCCCGAUUCUCCGAGCUCUAAUCCUCCUAUAACAUCAUAUGUCCCUAGUUAACACUUUAUAUCUCUAAUGUUGACUAUCCCUAAGAAGUCAACACAGGUCCACUCUGGUCAACGGUCAACGGUCAACUUUGACCGGACUCGGCGAGCGCUAGGGCGACUCGGCGAGUCUAGACGUUCUCACCAAUUCUCUAAGAUUCCCUUUCUACACGUCGAGUAUCCCCCCUGACUCGACGAGUUCCUCCUGGAAGAAUCGCGGGGCCACCCCGACUCAACUCGCCGAGUCUGAAGAACAACUCGGCGAGUCCCAGUUCGACUCAGACCACCUGUUAACCCUCUCUAACUCGCCCUGACUCACCGAUCCAACUCAUAACCCGGACAGGACCAUUCUAAGGCAAUCUUCAAGCUACUCGCCGAGUCUGUUCAUCGGACUCGGCGAGUCCAUGCCAUGCAACCGCUCAAACUGCUUUCUAAGGUCAGAUCUGCUCCGACAAUUCAUAGGUCUGGCCUUCCUAGACUGGUUCAUCACGUAAAGUCCUCAUUUCGGUGCUCAUAAUACACCCCAUGACUCAUAAUUUACGUUUUGACCUAAGGCAUAAGGAUUCCAAUCCAAAACCUCCAUUGAUUCCCGAAAAGCUCAGGCAUGGGACAUUCUGGACUUCCAAGGGUCCCAAUAUAGGGUUCCAAUCGCUUGGGGGACUAAGGAAACACUCAAUCUAGCCACAAAAGGGUUCAAUAAACCCUAAAUCCAUAUACACAUCAACAUAGAAGAAUGCAACUCGAAAAUAUUACCUGAAUAACGUUGCUCUGUGUCCCCAAUCCUCAGAAUGUGGCUUCUCCUGUUGUUCCCUUAACCAAGCCUCCUCCUCCUUGCAAAAUAACACUUCCAAGAUCAAUAAUGGUCUUCUACCUUGCUCCAGAUGCUCACAAUCGAAUUAGGGUUUCUCUCAAAGGACUAGGGUGAACAAUGACGGCCAUAAGGCCCCUUAUAUAUGUCCCAAACCUGGACGGUUAGGGUUUCGCUAAACAGCGCGGACUCGCCGAGUCCAUAUCCGGACUCGUCGAGUCCAGUCGCGAACCCGCGACCAGAUCCGCGAUCCUACUCGGCGAGUCUGAGCUCCAACUCGCCGAGUCCCCUCUUAAAACACCCAAAAUCAUAAAUAUAACGAUACCUGGAAUUCCGGGCUGUUACAACUCUCCCCCACUAGGACUAGACUUCGCCCUCGAAGUCUCACUCUGAAAAUAGCUCCGGAUGCUGCUCCCGCAUCUCACGCUCCGGCUCCCAGGUCAUUUCCGAUCCCUUCCGGUGCUGCCACUGAACUAACACCAGAGGUAUCUCCUUAUUCCUCAGAACCUUGAUCUUCUGAUCUCUGAUGGCCACUGGUCUCUCGGCAUAAUUCAGGCUCGCAUCCACCUGAAUGUCCUCUAAUGGAACCACUGCCGACUCAUCGGCUAUACACUUUCUCAAUUGCGACACAUGAAAAGUGUCGUGGAUCUGACUCAAUUCCGCUGGCAACUCCAAACGGUAGGCCACCCGGCCUACCCUCGCAAUCACACGAAAAGGCCCAAUAUACCGGGGCCCCAACUUGCCCCUCUUCCUGAAUCGAAUCACUCCUUUCCAAGGAGAGACCUUCAGGAGUACGAAGUCGCCGACCUGAAACUCAAGCUCGGACCGGCGUCUGUCUGCAUAACUUUUCUGUCGGCUCUGGGCGGUCAAUAACCUCUGUCUAACCUGCUGAAUCUGCUCUGUCGUCUGAAGCACGAUCUCUGUACUGCCCAUCACUCUCUGUCCCACCUCUCCCCAACAAAUGGGGGUCCGACAUCUCCUACCAUACAACAGCUCAAAGGGCGGCAUACCGAUGCUCGAAUGAUGGCUGUUGUUGUAGGAAAACUCCGCCAAGGGCAAAUACGCAUCCCAGCUACCCCCAAAAUCCAACACACACGCCCGAAGCAUGUCCUCGAGCGUCUGAAUCGUCCGCUCACUCUGACCGUCUGUCUGGGGAUGAUAUGCGGUACUAAAAUGCAAUCUAGUACCCAACUCCUCAUGAAAUUUCUUCCAGAACCUAGAAGUGAAACGCACAUCACGAUCUGAAACAAUCGAGAUCGGCACCCCAUGCCGAGAUACUACUUCUCUCACAUACACCUCCGCCAAUUUCUCUGCUGAAGAACUCUCACUAAUGGCAAGGAAGUGAGCGCUCUUCGUCAAUCUGUCUACAAUCACCCAAAUUGCAUCAACUCCUCUGGCAGUCCUCGGCAAUUUGGUGAUGAAAUCCAUAGUGAUCUGUUCCCACUUCCACUCGGGAACCUCCAAUGGCUGCAACUUGCCAUGCGGUCUCUGGUGCUCGGCCUUAACCCUACGGCAGGUCAAGCACCUCUCGACAAACCACGCGACGUCCCUCUUCAUGCAGGGCCACCAAUAUUCUCUCCUCAAAUCCAAAUACAUCUUUGUAGCCCCGGGAUGGAUCGAGAAUUUCGAUCGAUGUGCCUCCUCCAUCAAAGUAGUACGCGUACCGCCCACAAACGGUACCCAAAUCCGACCCUGAAAGGUCAUCAACCCUCGAACAUCAGUAACGAACUCUGAAACCAAACCAACGACCCGUUCCCUCUUCUGCAUCUCCGGUUGCAUAGCCUCAGACUGUGCCCCACGAAUGGCAUCCAGUACUGGAGCUAUCACGGUCAACCUCAAACAUACAUUUCGUAGUGGAGUGCUCUCCCCCUUACGGCUCAACGCAUCUGCUACCACAUUAGCUUUGCCCGGGUGGUACAGGAUCUCGCAAUCAUAAUCCUUGACCACAUCCAACCACCUCCUCUGACGCAUGUUUAGGUUGGGCUGGUCCAUCAAGUACUUCAAACUCUUAUGGUCCGUGUAUAUCGUGCAACGAACCCCAUACAAGUAAUGACGCCAAAUCUUGAGGGCGAACACUACCGCCCCCAGCUCUAGAUCAUGCGUGGGAUAUCUCGUCUCGUGAGGCUUCAGCUGCCUCGAUGCAUAUGCUAUUACAUGCCCUCUUUGCAUCAGAACUGCACCCAACCCCGAAAUAGAUGCAUCACAAUAAACUACAAAAUCCUCCAUCCCUUCCGGGAGAGCUAACACCGGGGCUUCGCACAAUCUCUGGCGAAGUGUCUCAAAAGAGGUCUGCUGCUCGGGUCCCCAUGAGAAUGCAACCCCCUUUCGGGUCAAUCUAGUAAGUGGCACUGCAAUUCUGGAGAAGUCCUUAAUAAAUCUCCGAUAAUACCCUGCCAAUCCAAGGAAACUCCUGAUCUCAGAGGGUGACUUCGGCACCUCCCAACUCAUCACCGCCUCAACCUUGGCCGGAUCGACCAAUAUCCCUUCCUGAUUAACAACAUGUCCUAGGAAUUGGACCUCCCGCAACCAGAAGUCACACUUGGAGAACUUUGCAUAAAGCUUCUCCGAUCUCAAAACCCCAAGGACCUCCCUCAAAUGUUCCUCAUGCUGCUCUCUAGAUCUCGAAUACACCAAAAUAUCAUCGAUAAAUACAAUCACUGACCGAUCCAACAUCGGCCUACAUACCCUGUUCAUGAGAUCCAUGAAUACAGCCGGGGCGUUGGUGAGCCCAAAAGGCAUCACCACAAACUCAUAAUGCCCAUAUCGCGUCCUGAAUGCUGUCUUCUGUACGUCCUCAUCCCGCACUUUCACUUGAUGAUAUCCCGACCUCAAGUCGAUCUUGGAAAACCAAGAUGCUCCCUGCAACUGAUCGAAUAAAUCGUCGAUCCUCGGUAAUGGGUAACGGUUCUUGACCGUCAACUUGUUCAACUCCCGGUAAUCAAUGCACAUCCGGUGUGAACCAUCUUUCUUCUUGACGAACAGAAUAGGUGCUCCCCACGGCGAGCUGCUCGGCCGAAUGAAUCCCUUCCCCAGCAACUCCUGAAGCUGCGAGGAUAACUCUUGCAUCUCUGGAGGUGCAAGACGAUAAGGCACCUUAGCGAUAGGCGCGGCCCCCGGAAUCAAAUCAAUACCAAACUCCACUUGCCUCACAGGAGGUACUCCCGGCAGCUCCUCGGGAAAGACAUCUGGAAACUCACGCACCACCGGUACCUCCUCAACUGAACUCGGUCUCUCGGAAGUCGCUCGCGUAUCCAUCACAUACGCCACAAAACCCUUACAGCCCUGCUGUAGACACUGCCUCGCUCUAGCGGCCGAACAAAAGGCUGAUCCCGAACGCGUACCCUCGCCGUACACCGAAAGAACUCCCCCACUAGGGUCUCGUAUAGUCACCAGCUGACGCUCGCAGUCGAUGACUGCGCCGAAUCGGCUCAACCAGUCCAUGCCCACAAUGACACAGACAUCACCCAUCGCGAUAGGAAUCAGGUCAAUCGGAAACUCAACCCCGAAAAUCUCUAACACACAUCCCCGGAAAACCCCCGUGGCACAAAUCACUCUAUCAUCAGCUAUGGAAACUCUCAGAGGCCGACUCAAUGCCUCACGACUAGCACUGAUAUGCUGACUAAAGGCCAGAGAUACAAAAGACCGACUCGCACCCGAGUCAAAUAACACUAAAGCAGGCACAGAAUUCACAAGGAAGGUACCUACGCAUAACCUAAUAUAAGCAUAAUAUUUCAACAUCAAUAUAAAUACAUGAAAGGAAACGUACCAGCCACCACAUCGGGCGCAGCGCGGACUUCCUCCGCAGUCAGCUGGAAGGCUCUCCCUCGAGCUCUCGGUGCCUCGGUCUUCAUAGGCCGACUCUCUGUAGCUCUGAUGGCGGCAGGAGCAGAUCCCUGAGGUGCUCCGCGCAGCUGCGGACACUCAGCCUUCCGGUGUCCAGUCUGGUUGCAGUGAAAGCACACUGCAAACCCCUUGGGGCAGUCCUUGGCCAUGUGCCCCUCCUUGCCACAUUUGUAGCAAGACCCCGCUCGGCAAACUCCGUCAUGCCCCUUGCCGCACUUUCCGCAAGUGCGGCCCUUCUGGCUCCCUGGUCUGGGAUCAGCAGGCUUGGCCCGCUUGGCGGCCGGCUGCGACAAUGCCGGUCGCCGAUCCCUCCCCUGAGACUCCGCCUCCUCCCUGGCCUGAGUCUCAAGCUCAAUCUCCCUCUUCCGGGCAUUUGCCUGAAGCUCGGCAAAUGUCCGGUACGAGGAGUUCGCAGCGAACUCCCGAAUAUCCCUCCUCAAGAUGCUCAAGUAGCGGCUCAUACGUGCCUGCUCAGUGGGCACGUGCUCAGGGCAGAACAUCGCCCUCUCGUGGAACAUCCUCGUGAUUGCUGUAACAGACUCAGUACCCUGCUUGAGGGUCAGAAACUCCUGUGCUAAACGCUCCCUCUCCACCUGGGGAACGUACUCAUCUCGAAACAUGGUGGUGAACCUCUCCCAGGUCACCGCAGAAAGCUCAGCAGGCGUAUAAUGCGCCGUUGCAAACUUCCACCAGUCCUUCGCUCCCAAGCGAAGCUGGUUCAGCGCGAAUCGGACCUUCAAAUGCUCAGGAGACGAGCAAGUGAAGAAGCACCCCUCAAUAUCAGAUAUCCACCUCAUCGCUGCCACCGGAUCCUGGGUCCCAUCAAACUCUGGUGGUUUUGUGUUGCUGAAUUCCCGAAAUAGAAACGCAUCCCCACCCUGCGGCCUUGCAGCAGUCACCGCUGCGUGGUCUUUAUCCACCUCUUACUGCAGCAGCAGCCUCAGUAAGAGCGGCAUAACGUUCGUCGAACGUCUCAAUCAGCGUCGUCUUUAUGGACCCAAACAUCUCCGGAAUCUCUGCCCUGAUGGCUGCAGCUACCUCCUCCUGGAUGAUCCGGCGGAUAUCCUCCUCACUGGUACCACUGCUCUCGGACGUGAAACGUGUCCUCACCAUGAUCUACCGCUGAAAUACGACAUACAAUAAAUUUAGAAUCCCCACGAACACACUCACACUCGUCAACUCUUUCCUCCUUGAUUCUUGGCAUUCCAAAGAUUCUUACUUGGGCUGCACCCCGCUCCGGUGCUUCCAGUAGUACGGGCCCAAUACUACUGUCCGCACCGCACCAGAAUACACUCCAAGUCCUCCUCUUCGGAUUCCAGGUCUCAAGUACUCUAUCAUGCGUAGACCACUCUCUAAUAGAUCUCUCAUAAGUCCCUCGCUGCUACCUACUCACUCUCAAGCAUCUCAUAGCAGCUCACCUCUCCCUAGGCUAAGGCAUCACAAAUCAGGCCAAUCUAGUUCUAAUAGCAAUGCCUAGCCUACUCUAGCAUGCAGAUACAUCAUAUCAAUAUUAACAUCACAUAAUGUAAGGGUAUUUUGGGAAAUCACCGUUCGGGCGCGGGCUGAUCGUACACACAUCUCUUGCUCUGCGUCUUUUCAAAAAUCUUUUAAUCUUUUGAAAAUUACAUCUCAAAUCCUCAGUUUGAGUUCAAAUACGCCCGAAGGUGUACUCGAAUCCCUCAAACCAAGGCUCUGAUACCAAAUUGUAACACCAAGAAUUUAAAAAUAAUUUUUCGCAUUUUAUAAAGGCAAAAUUCAUUUAAUAUUCAUAAAAACAUCAUUGUUUGUAAUUCAUUUCAUAACAUAUAAAAACCCCAAGAUCACAUAAUAUAAAAUCCCGCGUGUGUGCACUGAUCAGGCCGGCGCCUUCCCGCGAUCCUCACUAGUACCUGAAACAAAUAACACCAACACUGUAAGCAUAAAGCUUAGUGAGUUCCCCAAAAUACCAUAUAACACAUAUUAGCCACUCGAGGCUAUAACUCUGUGGGUCCGUGCACCCAUACUCUGUGAACCCUCAGGUUCUAACUCUGUAAACAAGCAUAGCAUAAAUCACAUAGAAGAAUGCAGUGCAACACAUAACAUACAUAGCAUACAAAUACUCUAUCAUAUAACUCUGGUUACCUACUCAAGGUAAAGUAUAGUGAGAAGACUCACCUCGCGUGUCUCGAUAUCUCACAACCCUGGGAAUCCCUCGUGCCCGAUUCUCCGAGCUCUAAUCCUCCUAUAACAUUAUAUGUCCCUAGUUAACACUUUAUAUCUCUAAUGUUGACUAUCCCUAA
rnacentral:lncRNA from 1 species